GACGUAGGGCGCAAGCGUUGUCCGGAUUUAUUGGGCGUAAAGAGCUCGUAGGCGGCUUGUUGCGUCGUCCGUGAAAACCUGUGGCUCAACUACAGGCUUGCGGUCGAUACGGGCGGGCUGGAGUUCGGUAGGGGAGACUGGAAUUCCUGGUGUAGCGGUGAAAUGCGCAGAUAUCAGGAGGAACACCGGUGGCGAAGGCGGGUCUCUGGACAGUUACUGACACUGAGGCACGAAGGCCAGGGGAGCAAACGGG
rnacentral:rRNA from 1 species